rnacentral:lncRNA from 1 species
CAGGGUGUGAACCAAGGUGUAGGUGGUAUCGUGCAAUGUGUGGCAGCAAAUGUGGGCUCAGAUCCUGAUGGGCACCCCCCGCUAACUGAGGAGCUACGGGAAAAUCACUUGACCUUCCUCAUGCCCACUCCUCUGCUGCCUUUUUCCCUCCGACAGGGAAGUUGAAUGAGAAGCUCUCUGUUAAGUACUCAGGACGCUCCCAGCUCAUGGGUCGCAGGGACCACGAAGUCAGCGCAGAAUUACUCUCUUGAAGUUCCAGAGAUCCAAAGACUAGGCGAGUUUCACGGGGCUAAACUCAAGGUGCCGGCAGGGCUGGUCCCUCUGGAGGCUCCAGGAGAGACUGUCCUGCCCCUUCCAGCAUCUAGAGGCUGCUGGUCGCCCCUUCGUCCAUAUUCCAAGCCGUCUCCUGUCUCUGCUUACGGUGUCACAGCCCCUUCUUCUCUGUUCUGAUCUUCUCACCUCCCCUUAUGAGGACCCCCUCCCCCGCCCCGGGUAAUUCAGGUGCUUAUCUUCAUCACGUCUAUGGAUGCCUCUGGCUGUGAGGUCCCACUGUCACAGGUUCUCGCCAUGAGGGACGUGGGCGCCUCUGGGGGCCCUGAUGGAGCCCAUUACACCCAUGUUCCGGUGUGACCCAUCCUACAGGUACUUCGUCCUUGGACACAGGCUAGAGCCCAAGCUGCAUGUCACAAGAGCCCGUAGUAGGGCCCUCUCCCCAGUGUUCCCGAAAGAGGUUGGCUCGCACGCUUGAGAAGGGCCUUCUCACGAGUGGUUUUUAGCCAAUGGCCAGUCACUGUGGCUGCAGUCCUCCCGACCCCAAGCAACCAUGAAGUGGAAAAGAGAAAUUCCCCAAGACUGUGCCCCUUGCUCCUUCUUGACAGGGAGACUUGGGUUUGGUGCACAACUAGAAUGGCCCGCCCCCAGUAAGGUUCCUUGAAACUGCCCUCUCUUCUCACAUCCCUGAACUUGCCAGUCAUCUUUGUCAACAAUGUAUAAAAAUACAUUCAAAGAUAUAAAAGUUAUACUCUGUUUAAUUUCCUUUCUACUGACGACUCCAACUGCUAAUAUGGCCUAAGGGUGGUGUUCACAAAUGCUGGGAGAAGUUCUUCAUUUUUUAGCAUAUUCCAGGUGGCCUUGCCACUUACUCUAAGAUGUGGAGGUGACUGAUGCCAAAAUAAUGUUGCUAGAUCUUUGACUCAUUUUAAUAUUGGUGUUGCAUGUACAUUUUGAACUUAAGUGUGAAAUAAUAAAGCCUGAUGUCUCUGUAGAGAAGAAGAAAAU